AUGCGCUGUUAUUCAAAGUUCUUCAUUUUAAAUGCAAAUUCACAAUUAAAGUUUCAAACUCAACUUAAGCAAAAUUAAAAUUAUUUUAUCCUAAAUCCAUUUAUUUAGCAGACUUGAGCUAUAGUAACAUUAAUAGACAGUUACAACACAUGAAUAACAUUCUCUGUGCCUGAUUGAUUGAGAGCUAAAGUUUACUAAAAAGAAACUAAACUAAUAUUUGCCUCAUAGACUUAACGCAAACUCAUCAACAAGAUUACUUCAUCUAGUGGAAUCUCAAAAAAGUAUGAUAACUAUACUAGGCAUUUCAUUAAAAGAUCUAAGCUAGCUGAUAAAUAAUUUGUGCAACUUUGGCAUAGUUGUGUCUCUUGGUUGGGGAGAGGGUUAAAUGUAUUAAAUAAUCUAUUAAAUUGGAGCCAUAUUGCUGCCAUUUCAACAAUGAAACUCCUUCAACAGAUAAUGUUUAUAAACUUUCGAUUCUUAAUUAAAUGGGCCAAUUUGUAAUCAUGUAUAUAAAGAUAAAAUUAAAUGUCACACAUCCCUAAUAAAAUUGAAAUAACAAUGCAAAGUUAGACUGCAACUGAAAAUCUUCCAUCACUUAGGAGAAAAGCAAGAUCUGGGGGGGACUUUUUCAAGUAUUGUUUCUGUCAUUGUUAUCAUUCUCAAUUUUGUCUAAUUUUAAAGCUGCUUAUUGUAACUAACCCCCUUGGCAGAAUCGUGGCGACAUUGUCGCAGAAUGUUACUAAGUUCUUGCAGAAAGAUUUCUCAUUUGGGAAGUGAGAAAUUCUUUUCUCUGCAGAAAUUUUCGGAAGAUUUUAUCUUUCCUUUUCCUAAUUAUAUUCAAAGGAUGCCUUUCUCGUGCAUUGAAGAGGGGGAAAAAAUGCUUGUUAUUUUUCUAUUCUCAUUUGAAAACCACAAAAAAAUAAUAAUAAUAAUGAAAACAUGGUUUUCUUUUCUGCAGAAAUUUUUGUUCUAUUUUUUUUCUUUGCAGCUAUUACUAAUAAUUUCCACUCAGUUUUUAAAAUUCGAAAUUUUUUAUUACAGCAACUGAACUUCAAAAUUGAAGCACGCAUUUCGGAAACCUUUUUUGAGGUGGUCUAUUUGCGUGAUUUCGUCAUCGAUCAUUUUUUUCGGUAGUUACUGCUACGGACUUCACUAUUUUUAAGUUUGAUUAUGAUUUACAAAAAAAAAUUACUAUGUUUUUCCCCUACAAAAUUCGAGAAAACGCUCAUAAUAUUAGAAUAAAAAAAAUAUUCCAAAUUCAAUUUAAAAAAUUACAUUACUAUUAUUUUUAUUAUUGUUAUUUAUUAUUUUUGAAGUUGACACUUCUGUUACUUUAAAUUAAUAACAAGUAUAUUUGUUUUUAUUAUAAGUAUCUUGCAGAAAGAUAUAUAUGCUAGAGAGGGUUGUCGCACAAAGCCCGAAAAAAUUCUGCCAGAGGAUAACUCACGGACGAUGAUAGGUACAUAGGCCAUAAGAAUGAGAGGAUAGGAAGCUGCCUCAAUGACACAGAUUCCCUCGUAGUUUCUGGAUCUGAAGAUGGUUGUGUUUACAUGUGGGACCUAAUUGAAGUCAGUCAGUAUUAUUUUGUUUUUUUUUAAAGACAACUUUUUAUUAAAAAACAUGACUAAAAUUAUAUCUAUCAACAGUUCCAAAAAUGACCAACAAUUUGAAAAGCGAAUUGAAAUAAUAUGCAUGUAGAAUUGCUGCAGUCCACUUUUAAAAAAACGCAGUGUUUGUUCUCAACAAAUUCAAAAUUAGUUUCAAAAUUUAUCAGCUGAUGAUUGUUAAAACUGUCAAACAAUAAUUUCUACUACAUGUCAGGUCAUUCUGUUAAUUUUGUCCUCAGACUGUAACUGCAAAGAGGGGUUAUUUGAAGAACAUUGUCUUAUAAUUUUUCUCAAUCGCAAUAUCAUGUGGAAAAAAAAUCCUGUCACUUGUUGACAAAACUGUUUUUUCAUGCAAAAUGUACAUUUAUCUCUUUUGAUUUUUUUUUCCUGUUUAAAAGUUCACAGUCUUCUUUGAGCCCCUCAGUAUUAACACAGUGCAUAUUUGUGAGAUUAUACUUUAAAUUUUUUUUAAAUCAUAAAACAGAUAUAAUUGAAAAUUAUAAUAUUUUACUGCUGUACAAAUAUUUUUUAAAUGGGUGGAAAUCAUUAAUAUUUUAGUCGUCACUAUUUUUUUUUUUUGCUACUUUAACUUUCUAUUUAUCUCACAUGUGAUGUAGCCUUUUUCGAAAUUACGUCGUCUCUGUUUCGUUAUCUCUGCCAAAAAUUAUACAAAGAAUGUUCCUACAAUGUAAGUGAUAUCAUAAACAAAAGAGCAUUAAAAUAGCCUUAGCGGAUGGAUGAGGCAGUGUUUUCACUACAGCGCGAAAGUCUCGCAUUUUUUUUAUUUUCUCGCCUUAAAAAUGUUGGGAAAAUGCAAACAAAUAGAUGGGCAGUAUUUUCCUCUCGGCUGUGUCACUUCCUGUGGGAAGUUGGGUCACUUCCUGUUAUCUCAGCUAGAAGGAAGUGGGUGUUUCUGUGUUUAGUCAGUUAUAUCUUUGCUUUGAAUAGAAGAUGUUUCUUCUCUUAUGCUAUGUUUAGAGAGAGCUAUGUGAUGUUAAAGAGUUAUGUUUAGUUUAAUUGAAUGUAGUUUUUCUUACUUUAUAUUUAAAGAUUUAUAUUCAAUAAAUAUAGUUGUACCUUUUCCAUGAAGUGAAUUCUUGAGUAGUAAUAGAUGUCUUCAAUAUCUUAUACUUAGUAAGCUGGCCCCUAUUUUUCAACAAAAAAAUUAUUACCGCCCAAAAUUCGCUCACUCUAUUAAUCAAUUUCAAAAUGCGCAAAUCUAGUGCAUUUUGGGGAAAGUUUUGUCACGUGACAUUUUUGAAUAAAAUCCGUUUCACUUUUCUACCUUGAUCUUUCAUUAUUUUCAACAUAUGUGAUUCAGAAUAGUUCAGCAUCUGUUGAAGGUCUUUUGGCACCCAAAACCGAAUUAAGACAAAAUAUCGUAACAGAUUGACUGAUAAGCAUUUGAGCAACC